AGCAGCCGCGGUAAUUCCAGCUCCAAUAGCGUAUAUUAAAGUUGUUGCAGUUAAAAAGCUCGUAGUUGAAUUUCGGGAUCAGUACGCUGGUCGUGCCUUCGGUAUGUACUGGUGUUACUGGUUCCUACCUUCUGACGAACCGUCAUGUCAUUAAUUUGGUGUGGCGGGGAAUCAGGACCGUUACUUUGAAAAAAUUGAGUGUUUAAAGCAGGCUCGCGCUUGAAUACAUUAGCAUGGAAUAAUGAAAUAGGACGUUUGAUUCUAUUUUGUUGGUUUCUAGGAUCGACGUAAUGAUUAAUAGGGAUAGUUGGGGGCAUUAGUAUUCAAUUGUCAGAGGUGAAAUUCUUGGAUUUAUUGAAGACUAACUACUGCGAAAGCAUUUGCCAAGGAUGUUUUCAUUAAUCAAGAACGAAAGUUAGGGAUCGAAGACGAUCAGAUACCGUCGUAGUCUUAGCCAAUAACUAUAGACCGACUAGGGAUCGGGAUGAUGUUAAUUUUUAUGUACUCAUUCGGC
rnacentral:rRNA from 1 species